rnacentral:rRNA from 1 species
AUGGGAAGCAUGCAAGCACACGAAAAUGGUGAAAGGAAGGUGGCCAACGCCACAAUAAUGAGUAGGGGCUUUUGGAAAAAUGUAUCACUUUGCAUCAAGGUUUUUGAGCCAUUGGUGAAGGUGCUUCGGUUGGCUGAUGGGGAUGGUCCAUCUAUGGCCUCUAUGUAUGGAGAACUAAUAAGUGCAAAAAGGGAAAUCAAGGUUGUUGUUGAAAAUUCAGAAAAAGACUAUUUGGUGAUCACUAAUGCCAUGAAUACCAGAUGA